rnacentral:rRNA from 1 species
CGGGAGGCAGCAGUGGGGAAUAUUGGACAAUGGGCGCAAGCCUGAUCCAGCCAUACCGCGUGGGUGAAGAAGGCCUUCGGGUUGUAAAGCCCUUUUGUUGGGAAAGAAAAGCCUUCGGUUAAUACCCGGGUGUUCUGACGGUACCCAAAGAAUAAGCACCGGCUAACUUCGUGCCAGCAGCCGCGGUAAUACGAAGGGUGCAAGCGUUACUCGGAAUUACUGGGCGUAAAGCGUGCGUAGGUGGUGGUUUAAGUCCGUUGUGAAAGCCCUGGGCUCAACCUGGGAAUUGCAGUGGAUACUGGAUCACUAGAGUGUGGUAGAGGAUAGUGGAAUUUCCGGUGUAGCAGUGAAAUGCGUAGAGAUCGGAAGGAACACCUGUGGCGAAGGCGACUAUCUGGGCCAACACUGACACUGAGGCACGAAAGCGUGGGGAGCAAACAGGAUUAGAUACCCUGGUAGUCCACGCCCUAAACGAUGCGAACUGGAUGUUGGGUUCAACUUGGAACCCAGUAUCGAAGCUAACGCGUUAAGUUCGCCGCCUGGGGAGUACGGUCGCAAGACUGAAACUCAAAGGAAUUGACGGGGGCCCGCACAAGCGGUGGAGUAUGUGGUUUAAUUCGAUGCAACGCGAAGAACCUUACCUGGUCUUGACAUCCACGGAACUUUCCAGAGAUGGAUUGGUGCCUUCGGGAACCGUGAGACAGGUGCUGCAUGGCUGUCGUCAGCUCGUGUCGUGAGAUGUUGGGUUAAGUCCCGCAACGAGCGCAACCCUUGUCCUUAGUUGCCAGCACGUAAAGGUGGGAACUCUAAGGAGACCGCCGGUGACAAACCGGAGGAANGNGGGGAUGACGUCAAGUCAUCAUGGCCCUUACGACCAGGGNUACACACGUACUACAAUGGUCAGGACAGANGG